rnacentral:rRNA from 1 species
UACGUAGGUGGCAAGCGUUGUCCGGAUUUACUGGGUGUAAAGGGCGUGCAGCCGGAGAGACAAGUCAGAUGUGAAAUCCACAGGCUCAACCUGUGAACUGCAUUUGAAACUGUUUCCCUUGAGUAUCGGAGAGGUCAUCGGAAUUCCUAGUGUAGCGGUGAAAUGCGUAGAUAUUAGGAGGAACACCAGUGGCGAAGGCGGCUUACUGGACUGUAACUGACGUUGAGGCUCGAAAGCGUGGGGAGCAAACAGG